UACGGGGAGGGCAAGCGUUGUUCGGAAUUACUGGGCGUAAAGGGCUCGUAGGCGGCCAACUAAGUCGGAUGUGAAAUCCCCAGGCUUAACCUGGGAACUGCAUCCGAUACUGGAUGGCUUGAAUUCGGGAGAGGGAUGCAGAAUUCCAGGUGUAGCGGUGAAAUGCGUAGAUAUCUGGAGGAACACCAGUGGCGAAAGCGCGUGACUGGGCCACAACUGACGCUGAGGAACGAAAGCCAGGGGAGCGAAAGGG
rnacentral:rRNA from 1 species